rnacentral:rRNA from 1 species
UACGUAGGGUCCAAGCGUUAUCCGGAAUCACUGGGCGUAAAGCGUGCGUAGGUGGCGCGUUAAGUGAGAUGUUAAAUCGCGUGGCUCAACCAUAUCGAUGCAUCUCAUACUGGCGUGCUAGAGGACAGCAGAGGCAAGUGGAAUUUGUAGUGUAGCAGUGAAAUGCGUAGAUAUUACAAGGAACACCAAUGGCGAAGGCAGCUUGCUGGGCUACUCCUGACACUGAGGUACGAAAGCGUGGGGAGCGAACAGG